CAGGCUUAACACAUGCAAGUCGAGGGGCAUCAGGAAGAAAGCUUGCUUUCUUUGCUGGCGACCGGCGCACGGGUGAGUAACACGUAUCCAACCUGCCCUUUACUCGGGGAUAGCCUUUCGAAAGAAAGAUUAAUACCCGAUGGCAUAAUGAUUCCGCAUGGUUUCAUUAUUAAAGGAUUCCGGUAAAGGAUGGGGAUGCGUUCCAUUAGGUUGUUGGUGAGGUAACGGCUCACCAAGCCUUCGAUGGAUAGGGGUUCUGAGAGGAAGGUCCCCCACAUUGGAGCUGAGACACGGUCCAAACUCCUACGGGAGGCAGCAGUGAGGAAUAUUGGUCAAUGGGCGCUAGCCUGAACCAGCCAAGUAGCGUGAAGGAUGAAGGCUCUAUGGGUCGUAAACUUCUUUUAUAUAAGAAUAAAGUGCAGUAUGUAUACUGUUUUGUAUGUAUUAUAUGAAUAAGGAUCGGCUAACUCCGUGCCAGCAGCCGCGGUAAUACGGAGGAUCCGAGCGUUAUCCGGAUUUAUUGGGUUUAAAGGGAGCGUAGGUGGACUGGUAAGUCAGUUGUGAAAGUUUGCGGCUCAACCGUAAAAUUGCAGUUGAUACUGUCAGUCUUGAGUACAGUAGAGGUGGGCGGAAUUCGUGGUGUAGCGGUGAAAUGCUUAGAUAUCACGAAGAACUCCGAUUGCGAAGGCAGCUCACUGGACUGCAACUGACACUGAUGCUCGAAAGUGUGGGUAUCAAACAGGAUUAGAUACCCUGGUAGUCCACACAGUAAACGAUGAAUACUCGCUGUUUGCGAUAUACAGUAAGCGGCCAAGCGAAAGCAUUAAGUAUUCCACCUGGGGAGUACGCCGGCAACGGUGAAACUCAAAGGAAUUGACGGGGGCCCGCACAAGCGGAGGAACAUGUGGUUUAAUUCGAUGAUACGCGAGGAACCUUACCCGGGCUUAAAUUGCAGUGGAAUGAUGUGGAAACAUGUCAGUGAGCAAUCACCGCUGUGAAGGUGCUGCAUGGUUGUCGUCAGCUCGUGCCGUGAGGUGUCGGCUUAAGUGCCAUAACGAGCGCAACCCUUAUCUUUAGUUACUAACAGGUUAUGCUGAGGACUCUAGAGAGACUGCCGUCGUAAGAUGUGAGGAAGGUGGGGAUGACGUCAAAUCAGCACGGCCCUUACGUCCGGGGCUACACACGUGUUACAAUGGGGGGUACAGAAGGCAGCUAGCGGGUGACCGUAUGCUAAUCCCAAAAGCCUCUCUCAGUUCGGAUCGAAGUCUGCAACCCGACUUCGUGAAGCUGGAUUCGCUAGUAAUCGCGCAUCAGCCACGGCGCGGUGAAUACGUUCCCGGGCCUUGUACACACCGCCCGUCAAGCCAUGGGAGCCGGGGGUACCUGAAGUACGUAACCGCAAGGAUCGUCCUAGGGUAAAACUGGUGACUG
rnacentral:rRNA from 1 species